rnacentral:rRNA from 1 species
UACGUAGGGUGCAAGCGUUGUCCGGAAUUAUUGGGCGUAAAGAGCUCGUAGGCGGUUCCGUAAGUCGGGUGUGAAAAAUCUGGGCUCAACCCAGUGGAGCACCCGAUACUGCGGUGACUGGAGUCCGGUAGGGGAGUGUGGAAUUCCUGGUGUAGCAGUGAAAUGCGCAGAUAUCAGGAGGAACACCGACAGCGAAGGCAGCACUCUGGGCCGGUACUGACGCUGAGGAGCGAAAGCAUGGGGAGCGAACAGG